CUGCUUAUAGUGAUUUAUUUAUUAACAUCUUUCCAGGGAUUCUGUGAAUAAUAUUGAAGUCUUGAGGCAGAUUUGAAUAGAUUGCCGUUGGCUGACUGUAUAUUAAGUCCGGCUGCGCUGUGUGUGAUAACGUUGCAUUGCCGUGGUGCUAGCUAGUGCUAAGCUAGUCAAGUUCAACAGCCAGUAUUUUCAACUUGUGGCAGUAAGAUUCUUUCCCGAAAGAUGGUUGGAAAUGUGUAUUUGCAGUUGGACUGACCUUUUACUGUUUAGGAUUCCCCCAAUCACGCAAUACCAUCAGCGCUAGGAGGGUGAAGGAUGGUGAUAUGGCUGCAACUGAACGGGGGAUUGAGGAGACUGUUCUGGGGAUCUGUGUGACUAGAGUUGAGGGAGCUGAAGCCAUGGACCCCCUGCCAAUACUGGAGUGGUAUUAGAAGGUGGUGUGGUUCUUGGGCAGUGUGUUCCUUGCCUUUGCAGUUCGGGCUGAUUUAUGCCUUAUACAGUGU